CAGUCGAGGGGUAUAGUUCUUCGGAACUAGAGACCGGCGCACGGGUGCGUAACGCGUAUGCAAUCUACCUUUUACAGAGGGAUAGCCCAGAGAAAUUUGGAUUAAUACCUCAUAGUAUGCAGAGUUGGCAUCAACACUGCAUUAAAGUCACAACGGUAAAAGAUGAGCAUGCGUCCCAUUAGCUAGUUGGUAAGGUAACGGCUUACCAAGGCUACGAUGGGUAGGGGUCCUGAGAGGGAGAUCCCCCACACUGGUACUGAGACACGGACCAGACUCCUACGGGAGGCAGCAGUGAGGAAUAUUGGACAAUGGGCGCAAGCCUGAUCCAGCCAUGCCGCGUGCAGGAUGACGGUCCUAUGGAUUGUAAACUGCUUUUAUACGAGAAGAAACACUGCUUCGUGAAGCAGCUUGACGGUAUCGUAAGAAUAAGGAUCGGCUAACUCCGUGCCAGCAGCCGCGGUAAUACGGAGGAUCCAAGCGUUAUCCGGAAUCAUUGGGUUUAAAGGGUCCGUAGGCGGUUUAAUAAGUCAGUGGUGAAAGCCCAUCGCUCAACGGUGGAACGGCCAUUGAUACUGUUAAACUUGAAUUAUUAGGAAGUAACUAGAAUAUGUAGUGUAGCGGUGAAAUGCUUAGAGAUUACAUGGAAUACCAAUUGCGAAGGCAGGUUACUACUAAUGGAUUGACGCUGAUGGACGAAAGCGUGGGUAGCGAACAGGAUUAGAUACCCUGGUAGUCCACGCCGUAAACGAUGGAUACUAGCUGUUGGAAGCAAUUUCAGUGGCUAAGCGAAAGUG
rnacentral:rRNA from 1 species